UACGGAGGAUCCGAGCGUUAUCCGGAUUUAUUGGGUUUAAAGGGUGCGUAGGCGGGAGCGGAAGUCAGCUGUGAAAUUUUAUGGCUCAACCAUAAACUUGCAGUUGAAACUCCGUUUCUUGAGUACACAUGAGGUAGGCGGAAUAUGUAGUGUAGCGGUGAAAUGCUUAGAUAUGUUAUAGAACACCGAUUGCGAAGGCAGUCUACUAAGCCGACAUUGACGCUGAGGCAUGAAAGCGUGGGGAGCGAACAGG
rnacentral:rRNA from 1 species